rnacentral:rRNA from 1 species
CCUACGGGGGGCUGCAGUGAGGAAUAUUGGUCAAUGGCCGCAGGGCUGAACCAGCCAAGUCGCGUGAGGGAUGACGGUCCUAUGGAUUGUAAACCUCUUUUGUCAGGGAGCAAAGGGCGCCACGUGUGGCGCUUUGCGAGUACCUGAAGAAAAAGCAUCGGCUAACUCCGUGCCAGCAGCCGCGGUAAUACGGAGGAUGCGAGCGUUAUCCGGAUUUAUUGGGUUUAAAGGGUGCGCAGGCGGAAUGUCAAGUCAGCGGUAAAAUUUCGGGGCUCAACCCCGUCGUGCCGUUGAAACUGGCGUUCUUGAGUGAGCGAGAAGUAUGCGGAAUGCGUGGUGUAGCGGUGAAAUGCAUAGAUAUCACGCAGAAGUCCGAUUGCGAAGGCAGCAUACCGGCGCUCAACUGACGCUCAUGCACGAAAGCGUGGGUAUCGAACAGGAUUAGAUACCCCUGUAGUC